rnacentral:rRNA from 1 species
AUUGAACGCUGGCGGCAGGCCUAACACAUGCAAGUCGAGCGGUAGAGAGGUGCUUGCAUCUCUUGAGAGCGGCGGACGGGUGAGUAAUGCCUAGGAAUCUGCCUAGUGGUGGGGGAUAACGUUCGGAAACGGACGCUAAUACCGCAUACGUCCUACGGGAGAAAGCGGGGGGAUCUUCGGACCUCGCGCCAUUAGAUGAGCCUAGGUCGGAUUAGCUAGUUGGUGAGGUAAUGGCUCACCAAGGCGACGAUCCGUAACUGGUCUGAGAGGAUGAUCAGUCACACUGGAACUGAGACACGGUCCAGACUCCUACGGGAGGCAGCAGUGGGGAAUUUUGGACAAUGGGCGCAAGCCUGAUCCAGCAAUGCCGCGUGCAGGAUGAAGGCCUCGGUUGUAAC